AGAGUUUGAUCCUGGCUCAGGAUGAACGCUGGCGGCGUGCCUAAUACAUGCAAGUCGAGCGAACAGACGAGGAGCUUGCUCCUUUGACGUUAGCGGCGGACGGGUGAGUAACACGUGGGUAACCUACCUAUAAGACUGGGAUAACUUCGGGAAACCGGAGCUAAUACCGGAUAAUAUUUCGAACCGCAUGGUUCGAUAGUGAAAGAUGGCUUUGCUAUCACUUAUAGAUGGACCUGCGCCGUAUUAGCUAGUUGGUAAGGUAACGGCUUACCAAGGCAACGAUACGUAGCCGACCUGAGAGGGUGAUCGGCCACACUGGAACUGAGACACGGUCCAGACUCCUACGGGAGGCAGCAGUAGGGAAUCUUCCGCAAUGGGCGAAAGCCUGACGGAGCAACGCCGCGUGAGUGAUGAAGGUCUUCGGAUCGUAAAACUCUGUUAUUAGGGAAGAACAAACGUGUAAGUAACUGUGCACGUCUUGACGGUACCUAAUCAGAAAGCCACGGCUAACUACGUGCCAGCAGCCGCGGUAAUACGUAGGUGGCAAGCGUUAUCCGGAAUUAUUGGGCGUAAAGCGCGCGUAGGCGGUUUUUUAAGUCUGAUGUGAAAGCCCACGGCUCAACCGUGGAGGGUCAUUGGAAACUGGAAAACUUGAGUGCAGAAGAGGAAAGUGGAAUUCCAUGUGUAGCGGUGAAAUGCGCAGAGAUAUGGAGGAACACCAGUGGCGAAGGCGACUUUCUGGUCUGUAACUGACGCUGAUGUGC
rnacentral:rRNA from 1 species